ACGCUCUUAGUUCAGUUCGGCAGAACGUAGGUCUCCAAAACC
rnacentral:tRNA from 4 species